UUUUCUGCUUGGAGAUCACCUUGUUUGGAGUGUUUCGUGAGCUCUGAUCCCUGGCAAAGGGUUGAAUGUGAAUGAUGCUCUUUCAGCAAUAUACAGUCGCUCGAGCUCCCUGCUGCAGCCUUACAUAAAUAUACAACACCCGUCUCUGCCUAUAACUCACUUCAGGCCUGGAAAAAUAGUGACUUCCUUUAUUGGCCGGAUUCUUUCGCAAUUCCCAACAGCUGUAUGUUUUCACCUCUGAGGAUCCUUAUCUUCAAGUUUCCAUUUGUCUCAGCACUAUUCCAGUGGAUUGCCAAUAAAAAUGAUUCCCAUUUUUAUAACCCCUGAGAAUGCAGGGAGCAGACUUUCCAGAAAAAAAAAAAAACCUAUUUUUUAACACACUUAGAAAAAGAGGCUCCCCACAACUUACCAGAAGGCAGGAUUUAGCCUUCACAGGAAUACUUGAAUGUGUGAAACUUCCCGAGCAAUCAUUGCGACUCCACAGAGAUGGGAACGGAGACUCCCAGCAAUCUAACGCCGUUCAAUCAAGGACUCUUAAUUUUCCAUUUGAGCAAGAGGAAUGGCUGCAAAUGGAACAUUUAUUAACACAUGUGCCUCACACUCACAAAGAGAGCUAUAUUUACAAAGAAUUAAACUUGAGAGCAUGAAAUAGCCUUGUAACCAUAUGACAAAGAUACACUUAAAGAGAUGUAAACACUAGGUGCAGGGAAAUUUGCCAGGUUAGAGUCAGCUGUAUCACUCUGUUUUAUUACUAUACAACUGUUUACUGAGAAAAGACAGAUGAUUACUGAUAUACUCUGUGUGUUAUCAUAAGGGCUUGCUUGGGAGCUUUUUGAGACUGACAGUUGCUACAGCCCUAUGCAAAAACCUGGCCUGGGGAGUUGUUUUUCUUUUAAUUCUUCUCUGUCCAUCAUUCCAAAGCAUUAACAAUUCUUUUAGAAAAGUAAACUGGCAGAGCAUCCUGAGCGGCUUGUAUCACUCCCGUGAGACAGUCACUAAAGAAAUUUAAAUCAUUCUUUCUUUCUUUUUUUUUUUUUUUUUUUUUUUGUCAUAGGGUUAUUGGUUUUGGUUUUUCCAAGGGUAAAUUUUUAAAGCCUCUCCCCUGUCUGGGCAAUGCAAGUCCCAGGCUGAGGCUAGCAGCUCCUAGCAGUGGCUUCUGAGGGAAGGUGCUGUUCCUGUGUCUCCCUGGAAAUGCAUAAAGCAGCCAUCAGGUUGCCUUAAAAUGGGUUUGAAGGGACCCAGAAGAGAAGUCAAUACACCAUGUGUGCUUCUCUCAUCUGCUUCAUUUUCAUGACAGCCAAUGGGUUGCAAAGACUAAGAAAUUGAGUGCCAGGUGUUUAAGAGAACAGGUUUAAAGGAUGUUAUACCUUAUUUAUCCUUAAUGGGGUCCAAGUGCCAGGGCUGUAUUUUGAGACAGCCUUCAGCUGUGUUCCUUGCUGUUUCCAGGAGCAGGUCCCUGACUGAGUGCAGAAGGUGAGGAGGGAGGAGCAACCUAGGCAGGUGGGGCCUCCCAUCUCCACCUCUGCACACAUCUGCUCAGCAUGGAAUUCAAGUCCUGGUUCAUUCUGUUUCACUGCAUAUACCAGAAAUGUUUAAGUUACGAAUCACAUCACUGCAGGCUCCCUCUGUGUUCAACAUAGAGAGUGAAGGGGAUGGUCAGAAGGGCGCUGCUACCUUCCACCCACAAUCAUCUCUCAGUCUUUAUCAUCUCUUUACACUGGCUUGUGGCAAAAAAUUUGGCUUGUUCUUCAGUUCAAGUAUUUUGCCAUAUCUCACCCAGGGAGAGGAGGGGAAGGGUUCUUUCCUUAUGGGUUCCUGAUCUAAAUGAAUUAUUGUGAGGCACUUUUUUUUUUUUAAAGCCUCGGAAAGGGAAUUUGAAGCUAUUGUAUUUAUCUGACCGUUAUGAGCACUGUAAAACAUGCUGUUUCACAUUGUAACAUAAGCUCUUUUUUAAAGUAUGCCCAGAGUAUUUGUAAUUGUUAUCAGGCCCAGAUGUAUCCGAGUGUCAGCAUGAAGCACUGAGAGUUGGCUCAGAUGUACAGAAUGUAAUUAGCUCAAAGCCCUGUGCGCUUGGUUUGUAGUGGAAGCACAGACUGAUAAUAAAACC
ensembl:lncRNA